GAUUAGGGUUUUAGGGUUUCAUUCUUUAUCAAUCAAUCCAUGUUCGAUUAUGGGUUUUUAGGUUUUGAAUUACCUUUUAACCUUAGAUGAUUGUUGAAUCGGACCACCAAAGGAGUUGAGCCGCGAGCUGGACACGAACGGGACGCGAGCUGGAAUGGAUUGAGUCGCUUCUAUCGGGUCGCGGACGUCCUUUGUUGCUUGAUCGGGAACGCCUUGAUCGUCGGACCCGAGCUGUCUGAUGCUAUCGCGAACAAGGAAGAGGUCGCGUGCUGGAGCUGCUCUCGGGUCGCGAACGUCUGAUCUAGGAUCAGGAACGCCUUGGGCUGAAGCUGAUCGGGGACGCGAGCUGGAACAGAUGCGAGAACAAGAGACGCGAUCGGGGUUUAGGGUUCGUCGGAUCGCCGGCGAGGGUUAGGAUAAAUCUGAACCGAUCUGAAUCCAAACCGAAAAUUUAUAAGUAAUUAUUUGGUCCAAAUGUCUCGGACCCAAAGGAUCCCCGACAGGAAAGGAACAGAGCUCGAAUCCGACCCAAAACCAAACGCCCAGGCUUAAUUCAGAUCGUACCCAAACCACCACAACAACACGAUAGCCGUCUUCCUCCGACGCAAAAAUAACGCCUUCUCUUGAACCUACUUCAUCCUUCAAUCACCUCGAUCAGUUUCACCUCUAUCCUUCUUUUCUCCACGAGUAUUCCUCAACGCCGGGGCAAAAUAUUCUCUCUCUCUUUUUUUUUUCUAUUUUGGAAUUUGGAGGGGGAGGGGGGUUUCAUCUUUCCUAGUAAUUCUGAAAAGCUCCCAAGAAGAUAAAAUGAGAAAAGGGUCAUGCUCUGAAGAAGUCUGCUUCGACUUGUUGAAUCAGUUGGAGCAUCUUCUUGAAUCUGACCCUCUCAUUUAAAAGUGAUGAAGUUGGGUUUAUUCACCCCUCACAGUUCACACUGCUGGAUAAAGAAUCAGGAUCCGUUACUGACGGAAGCUCACCAAGUUUCUGGAAUCAAGAUCAUAAACUGGGAAUAUCUACAGAUAUACUUAUCCAGUUAUGUAAAGAUGCAAAACAUGCGUUCCCUUGAGAACGCAUCUACUUCUACCAAAGAUAUCUCGUCUGGGAUCUCUUCUUGUUCCCUUGAGAGCAGAGUCAUGAAACAUAGCCAAGCUCUGUUGCUGUUAAGCUUAGACUUUGGAACUGCAUGGAACGCCCGGUUACUUUGAAAUGAUGUUCCUUUGUUCUCUAGUGUUUUGUUUCUUUAUCUAACCCUCCCUCAUCUUGUUGGUAGGAAGUUGAUCUUGUCCAAACAAGAUCAACCCUUGGAGGCAUUCACAGAAGAACUUCGUCUCUCUAAGCUAGUUCUUUCUAAUUGUCCAAAGAGUGAGCCAACAUGGAGUCACAGAAGAUGGAUAAUUAAGAUGAUUUCUCGGAGUUUUCCCACACCACAACUCCAAGAGAUUAUCACCAAAGAGUCUGAGCUAGUGGAAUCAAUAGGCGAGGUUUAUAUCAGUUUUGUGCUUUAUAUGUAAUGAAGGUUCACCAUGACAUAUACAUACAUAUUGGUUUCUUCACAAUUUAGCUAUCGUAUAUUUAUAUAUAAAUGGUCGGUCUCUCGUUGCAAUUCCUACGAAUAUUGCACACAGUCACUCAUUCUGCUCCUAUUCAAUUACUUGGCCU